GUGCCAGCAGCCGCGGUAAUACCGGCAGCCCGAGUGAUGGCCGAUCUUAUUGGGCCUAAAGCGUCCGUAGCUGGGUCUGAAAGUCCAUCGGGAAAUCCAAACGCUCAACGAGUGGCCGUACGGUGGAAACUCCACACCUUGGGACCGGAAGGCUCGAAGGGUACGGCCGGGGUAGGAGUGAAAUCCUGUAAUCCCGACCGGACCACCGAUGGCGAAAGCACUUCGAGAAAACGGAUCCGACAGUGAGGGACGAAAGCUAGGGUUGCGAACCGGAUUAGAAACCCUGGUAGUCC
rnacentral:rRNA from 1 species